rnacentral:rRNA from 1 species
UAGCGGAGGAAAAGAAACCAACAGGGAUUGCCCCAGUAACGGCGAGUGAAGCGGCAACAGCUCAAAUUUGAAAUCUGGCCCCAGGCCCGAGUUGUAAUUUGCAGAGGAUGCUUUUGGCGCGGUGCCUUCCGAGUUCCCUGGAACGGGACGCCAUAGAGGGUGAGAGCCCCGUACGGUUGGACACCAAGCCUUUGUAAAGCUCCUUCGACGAGUCGAGUAGUUUGGGAAUGCUGCUCUAAAUGGGAGGUACAUUUCUUCUAAAGCUAAAUAUUGGCCAGAGACCGAUAGCGCACAAGUAGAGUGAUCGAAAGAUGAAAAGCACUUUGAAAAGAGGGUUAAACAGCACGUGAAAUUGUUAAAAGGGAAGCGCUUGUGACCAGACUUGCGUCCGGUGAAUCACCCAGCUCUCGCGGCUGGGGCACUUCGCCGGCACAGGCCAGCAUCAGCUUGCCGUCGGGGACAAAAGCUUCAGGAACGUGGCUCCUCUCGGGGAGUGUUAUAGCCUGUUGCAUAAUACCCUUCGGCGGGCUGAGGUACGCGCUCCGCAAGGAUGCUGGCGUAAUGGUCAUCAGCGACCCGUCUUGAAACACGGACCAAGGAGUCAACCUUAUGUGCGAGUGUUUGGGUGUUAAACCCCUACGCGUAAUGAAAGUGAACGCAGGUGAGAGCUUCGGCGCAUCAUCGACCGAUCCUGAUGUUCUCGGAUGGAUUUGAGUAAGAGCAUAUAGGGUUGGACCCGAAAGAAGGUGAACUAUGCGUGUGUAGGGUGAAGCCAGAGGAAACUCUGGUGGAGGCUCGCAGCGGUUCUGACGUGCAAAUCGAUCGUCAAACAUGCGCA